GUGGGGAAUUUUGGACAAUGGGCGCAAGCCUGAUCCAGCGACGCCGCGUGGAGGACGAAGGCCUUCGGGUUGUAAACUCCUUUUGGAGGGGAAGAAUAAAUUGACGGUACCCUCAGAAAAAGCCACGGCUAACUACGUGCCAGCAGCCGCGGUAAUACGUAGGUGGCGAGCGUUACUCGGAAUUACUAGGCGUAAAGCGUAUGUAGGUGGUUAGAUAAGUCUAUGGUGAAAUUUCCUGGCUUAACUGGGAAGGGACAUAGAUACUAUCUGGCUUGAGUGUGGGAGGGGGAGACGGAAUUCCUGGUGUAGCGGUGAAAUGCGUAGAUAUCAGGAGGAACACCGAUGGCGAAAGCAGUCUCCUGGCCCAAUACUGACACUGAGGUACGAAAGCUAGGGUAGCAAACAGGAUUAGAUACCCCAGUAGUCC
rnacentral:rRNA from 1 species